rnacentral:rRNA from 1 species
AUUGAACGCUGGCGGAAUGCUUUACACAUGCAAGUCGAACGGCAGCACGGACUUCGGUCUGGUGGCGAGUGGCGAACGGGUGAGUAAUAUAUCGGAACGUGCCCAGUCGUGGGGGAUAACGUAGUGAAAAUUACGCUAAUACCGCAUACGAUCUACGGAUGAAAGCGGGGGAUCGCAAGACCUCGCGCGAUUGGAGCGGCCGAUAUCAAAUUAGGUAGUUGGUGAGGUAAAGACUCACCAAGCCGACGAUCUGUAGCUGGUCUGAGAGGACGACCAGCCACACUGGAACUGAGACACGGUCCAGACUCCUACGGGAGGCAGCAGUGGGGAAUUUUGGACAAUGGACGCAAGUCUGAUCCAGCCAUUCCGCGUGCAGGACGAAGGCCUUCGGGUUGUAAACUGCUUUUGUACAGAACGAAAAGGUCUCUAUUAAUACUAGGGGCUCAUGACGGUACUGUAAGAAUAAGCACCGGCUAACUACGUGCCAGCAGCCGCCGUAA